rnacentral:rRNA from 1 species
CAGUAGCCGCGGUAAUACGAAGGUCCCGAGCGUUGUUCGGAAUCACUGGGCGUAAAGGGAGCGUAGGCGGCGUGGUAAGUCAGAUGUGAAAUCCCGGGGCUCAACCCCGGAACUGCAUCCGAUACUGCCAUGCUAGAUGAUUGGAGAGGUAGCUGGAAUUCUUGGUGUAGCAGUGAAAUGCGUGGAGAUCAAGAGGAACACUCGUGGCGAAAGCGAGCUACUGGACAAUAACUGACGCUGAGGCUCGAAGGCCAGGGUAGCGAAAGGGAUUAGAGACCCCAGUAGUCCCUGUCUCUUAUAC